UACGUAGGCAGCGAGCGUUGUUCGGAAUUACUGGGCGUAAAGAGUGUGUAGGUGGUGCUCUAAGUUCGGUGUGAAAUCUCCCGGCUUAACUGGGAGGGUGCGCCGAAGACUGGAAGGCUUGAGUAUGGGAGAGGUAAGCGGAAUUCCUGGUGUAUCGGUGAAAUGCGUAGAUAUCAGGAGGAACACCUGCGGUGUAGACGGCUUACUGGACCAUAACUGACGCUGAGACACGAAAGCGUGGGUAGCAAACAGG
rnacentral:rRNA from 1 species